rnacentral:rRNA from 1 species
AUACGUAGGUGGCAAGCGUUGUCCGGAUUUAUUGGGCGUAAAGCGAGCGCAGGCGGUUUCUUAAGUCUGAUGUGAAAGCCCCCGGCUCAACCGGGGAGGGUCAUUGGAAACUGGGAGACUUGAGUGCAGAAGAGGAGAGUGGAAUUCCAUGUGUAGCGGUGAAAUGCGUAGAUAUAUGGAGGAACACCAGUGGCGAAGGCGGCUCUCUGGUCUGCAACUGACGCUGAGGCUCGAAAGCGUGGGGAGCAAACAGGAUUAGAUACCCUGGUAGUCCACGCCGUAAACGAUGAGUGCUAAGUGUUGGAGGGUUUCCGCCCUUCAGUGCUGCAGCAAACGCAUUAAGCACUCCGCCUGGGGAGUACGACCGCAAGGUUGAAACUCAAAGGAAUUGACGGGG